AAUCUUCAAAACCCCUUUUUUAUUUUAUUUUAAAAAAGGAUUUUUGGACUUGGAGGUUCAAUGCUCGCUUUUGCCUUUGAAAGUGAGCUCCUCCCAAAUAAAUCAGUGGGGUCCGCUUUGCUGAUCCUUGACGUGAUAAGAUGCUUCUACGUUUUGGAUUUGGCACUGUACCUUGGAUGCCUGCUCCUAACUGUCCUCACGGACAAUGAUGGUGCUCUGGUCGCCGUCCUUUACAUUGGCGGAAGGCUGGACCCACAAAUGAAAAC
rnacentral:misc_RNA from 1 species